rnacentral:rRNA from 1 species
GGGAAGAGCUUGCUCUUUCCGGAAUUGAGUGGCAAACGGGUGAGUAACACGUAAACAACCUGCCUUCAGGAUGGGGACAACAGACGGAAACGACUGCUAAUACCGAAUAAGUUCCAAGAGCCGCAUGGCCCAUGGAAGAAAAGGUGGCCUCUACCUGUAAGCUAUCGCCUGAAGAGGGGUUUGCGUCUGAUUAGCUGGUUGGAGGGGUAACGGCCCACCAAGGCGACGAUCAGUAGCCGGUCUGAGAGGAUGAACGGCCACACUGGAACUGAGACACGGUCCAGACUCCUACGGGAGGCAGCAGUGGGGAAUCUUCCGCAAUGGGCGAAAGCCUGACGGAGCAACGCCGCGUGAGUGAUGACGGCCUUCGGGUUGUAAAACUCUGUGAUCCGGGACGAAAAGGCAGAGUGCGAAGAACAAACUGCAUUGACGGUACCGGAAAAGCAAGCCACGGCUAACUACGUGCCAGCAGCCGCGGUAAUACGUAGGUGGCAAGCGUUGUCCGGAAUUAUUGGGCGUAAAGCGCGCGCAGGCGGCUUCCCAAGUCCCUCUUAAAAGUGCGGGGCUUAACCCCGUGAUGGGAAGGAAACUGGGAAGCUGGAGUAUCGGAGAGGAAAGUGGAAUUCCUAGUGUAGCGGUGAAAUGCGU